AGAGCAGAACGAGCUUUAAUUCCCUCAUUCAGAAUUUAGCCUGGCCCAGGCAGAAAGCUCAUUAAUAUCGGCUUAUCAAUGUGUAAAUAUGAACUUUGACGUUCAGGAAGAUAUAAUAGAUCAGAUUCGGGGUUAGUAAAAGCCAAACACCGGGAAGAGAUAGACGCUACUGACCGUACUUCAUUUAUCAAAGUCCGAUAACUUACGGACCUCCAUACUUUGCCCAUUACUCGUACCUAUACGGUUUAUACCGCAUACCUACUUUAAAAAUGAAAAAUGAUGUUCGCUAUCUGCACAGGGCAAUGCAAUAAAUGUUUAUGGGCUACAUUCCACGCAACCGCUAACCAUUGCUUUAACAUAAUUAUUCAAUUUAGAAUUCGCCGUUUCCCGUUUUGGUUUUCUUUCACGAUGUAUUGCACAGCGGGCUAACAAGUACUCUUGACAUUGGGUUUACAGUGUAUUUUCAAUUUUAAUAAUUUACUUAAAAAAAACCUGAGUACAAUUUCAAGACAUUGUACAAGAUCAAGAGACAUGGGUCUUUUAAAUUGUCAAAUUGAAACUUCAAACCAAGUUGUCAACGUUUUUCGAGCACACUCAAGCAACAUUAAAUAGGAAGAAUAAUUUGCUCAUUAACGGUUGCAAAUAUUUAUAAGAUAUUCUCCUGAGUAUACUACACUGAAUGUAAUGGAUGGUGUAAGACGCGUUGCUCUUACGGUGUGGGGAAUGUUUUGUGUACUUUUGUUUCUCGACGCAAUUGAAGACGUAAUUUUGUACAUUUGGCCAAACAAACCUGCUACACCAACAAUGCUAGCAUACGAAAAGAUUCAAAGGAUAAUCACUUAUUAUUUUGGAGGUGAAGAGUAAAUAUAACCGGCCCAAAAUUCAAAAUCACUGUUACAUUUCAGACAUCCGUAUCUAUGUAUUUUGAUCACUUUAUACAAAAUUAUACAUAUUUUUAAUCUAUAAAUUUUAAUAACCUUGGAAAAUUGUAACCAUAAAGUAUUCAUUAAAGUAUAUUACUUCCUCCUA